rnacentral:rRNA from 1 species
UACGAAGGGGGCUAGCGUUGCUCGGAAUCACUGGGCGUAAAGCGCACGUAGGCGGAUUGCUAAGUCAGGGGUGAAAUCCUGGAGCUCAACUCCAGAACUGCCUUUGAUACUGGCGAUCUUGAGUCCGGGAGAGGUGAGUGGAACUGCGAGUGUAGAGGUGAAAUUCGUAGAUAUUCGCAAGAACACCAGUGGCGAAGGCAGCUCGCUGGGACGUUACUGACACUGAGGCGCGAAAGCGUGGGGAGCGAACAGG